CCCUUAGAUGUUCUGGGCUGCACGCGCGCUACACUGGUGCGUUCAGCGAGUUUAGCACCUUAACAGAUAUGUUUGGGUAAUCUUCUGAAAACGCACCGUGAUGGGGAUCGAUUAUUGUAAUUAUUAAUCGUCAACGAGGAAUUCCUAGUAAGUGUGAAUCAUCAGUUCGCGCUGAUUACGUCCCUGCCCUUUGUACACACCGCCCGUCGCUGCUACCGAUUGGAUUGGCUGGUGAAGCGUUCGGAUUGUGGGUUCGGAGCGGUUCGCCGUUCUGGGCUUGCGAGAAGUUCGUUAAACCCUCCUAUCUAGAGGAAGGAGAAGUCGUAACA
rnacentral:rRNA from 1 species